rnacentral:misc_RNA from 1 species
AAGUCGUAACAAGGUUUCCGUAGGUGAACCUGCGGAAGGAUCAUUAACACUAUUUUAAAAAAACAACUUGAGUUGCUUGAGCAAUCUCGCUAACUCUUUUGUUUUUUCCAAACCAAAUACCCAAACUUUUGAAAGUGCUGGUUGAUUUACAUUUACAUGUAAAUCACUUUUUCACUUCCUUUUUCUUUAUUAACCCCAAACUCUUUCAUUGCUAAUGCAAAUGACAAUAACAAAAACUAAUAACUACUUUAUUAACGUAACCAAACAACUCUUAGCAACGGAUAUCUUGGCUCUU